CCUACGGGAGGCAGCAGUGGGGAAUAUUGGGCAAUGGGCGCAAGCCUGACCCAGCAACGCCGCGUGAAGGAAGAAGGCUUUCGGGUUGUAAACUUCUUUUCUCAGGGACGAAGCAAGUGACGGUACCUGAGGAAUAAGCCACGGCUAACUACGUGCCAGCAGCCGCGGUAAUCCGUAGGUGGCAAGCGUUAUCCGGAUUUACUGGGUGUAAAGGGAGUGUAGGCGGGACGGCAAGUCAGAUGUGAAAUCCACGGGCUCAACCUGUGGCCUGCAUUUGAAACUGUAGUUCUUGAGUACAGGAGAGGCAGACGGAAUUCCUAGUGUAGCGGUGAAAUGCGUAGAUAUUAGGAGGAACACCAGUGGCGAAGGCGGUCUGCUAGACAGCAACUGACGCUGAGGCGCGAAAGCGUGGGGAGCAAACAGGAUUAGAUACCCCGGUAGUC
rnacentral:rRNA from 1 species